rnacentral:tmRNA from 1 species
GGGGCUGACCGGUUUCGACGUCGGGACCAGGAGGCCGCGGAGUGCGACCGGAGUUGCUCAGACUCCCUAAACGGGGCAACCAAAGAGACGCCGAUGACGACGCUCUCGUUCUCGUCGCCUGAUCUGAACUGAUCUAGCUACGAGAAUCAUCGCGACCAGCAAUGGCACGCGGGGCCAGACCGCUGCAGCCUGGCACCAGAAGCAGCGGUGGACGGCAGGGAAAGACCCGCUGACGGCAGGCAAAGACCGCUGGCACCGGAGGAAGAUCCGGCGGCCGGAUCCUCGGAUCCCCACGACCCGGCGUGGCGGCAGCCGCAAGCCGCAAGCUCGGGAAUGGUCGUAGCGAGCCCGGCAACCGCCUGACGGACGGGAGUUCGAUUCUCCCCAGCUCCACCA